GGAGUCAGAGCGGAGCCCUUCUCCCCACUCUCAAGACUGCAAACAACAGGCUUGCUAUGCAGUCCAGUUCCCAAAAUGCCAUCCCAAUCCUCAUCACUGCCUCGGGCUAAGGCUUGGCUACCAUUCUGGGCCGGACUCUUAGCUUGUUUUGAUGAAAUCCUAGCAGUCUCCACCAUAUAUUGAUCAAUUGAGCUUGGACUGACCUCCAAUCCCACC
rnacentral:lncRNA from 1 species